UAUUAGGGAAACAGGUUAAAGAGCCAAAGCACCAAAAGAAUCAACAAUUCAAUAACCCUCCACAAAUAUAACACUGAAACUUUAGGCAAAAUCAUUAAUUACCAGAUUUCACAAAACCAAUUAACAGAAACAAACCAUGGGGAACCAAAAUUUAGCAAACCAUAGCUAAAUUUUGUCCACAUUAAUACAGCAAUUUGGAAAAUGUAUCAACAGAGCAAAAAAUCAGAUCAUUCUAAAAAGCAACACGCAGUAAAGGAAACUCGAAAGUAGGGACUGGAUACUCACUUAAUAGCAACAAAAACACCUGGAGAAGAACCAUACUGGGACUGAAAUUGAGAGAUAACCCUUCAUUCAUGCCUCCAGCUUUAUGACAC
rnacentral:misc_RNA from 1 species